GAUGAACGCUGGCGGCGUGCCUAAUACAUGCAAGUCGAGCGAACAGACGAGGAGCUUGCUCCUCUGACGUUAGCGGCGGACGGGUGAGUAACACGUGGAUAACCUACCUAUAAGACUGGGAUAACUUCGGGAAACCGGAGCUAAUACCGGAUAAUAUAUUGAACCGCAUGGUUCAAUAGUGAAAGACGGUUUUGCUGUCACUUAUAGAUGGAUCCGCGCCGCAUUAGCUAGUUGGUAAGGUAACGGCUUACCAAGGCAACGAUGCGUAGCCGACCUGAGAGGGUGAUCGGCCACACUGGAACUGAGACACGGUCCAGACUCCUACGGGAGGCAGCAGUAGGGAAGCAUCCGCAAUGGGCGAAAGCUUGACGGAGCAACGCCGCGUGAGUGAUGAAGGUCUUCGGAUCGUAAAACUCUGUUAUUAGGGAAGAACAAAUGUGUAAGUAACUAUGCACGUCUUGACGGUACCUAAUCAGAAAGCCACGGCUAACUACGUG
rnacentral:rRNA from 1 species